CCUGGGAUAGCUCAGUCGGUAGAGCAUGAGCUAUCUUAAUCUCAGGGUUGUGGGUUCAAGCCCCAUGUUUGGCA